rnacentral:rRNA from 1 species
UACGUAGGGGGCAAGCGUUGUCCGGAUUUAUUGGGCGUAAAGAGCGUGUAGGCGGUUCGGUAGGUCCGUUGUGAAAACUCGAGCUCAACCUCGAGACGCCGAUGGAAACCCCCGAACUAGAGUCCGGAAGAGGCCGAGUGGAAUUCCUGGUGUAGCGGUGGAAUGCGCAGAUAUCAGGAGGAACACCAAUAGCGAAGGCAGCUCGCUGGGACGUUACUGACACUAAGGCGCGAAAGCGUGGGGAGCGAACAGG